UCCCGUGGGUGGUACAACCUGGCAGAUUACAAAACACCCCUCCCAUGUGCCUCGCCACUCUCUGUGCCAGGGAGAAGCUACCGAUCUGAUGCUCCUGAAGAGUAUGAAAGUGUGAGCGGAGAGAGAGAGAGAGAGAGAGAGAGAGAGAGAGUAAUUAAGACAGAGAGAAGCAAAAAGAAAGAAAAAGCUAGUGGAAGGCAGUAGGACACAAUCGGCACCACUAUCUACUGAGAACAUCGGGGUAAGUGCCAGAAGCAUGCACGCAUACACACAAACAAACACUCAUACACACAUACAUUCAUUUCUUUUAUGUAUACUAUAUCUGUGUGCUUUCUCAUGCAUGACACCCCUCAGGCCUUUUGCGCUUGAAAACUUUCAGAACUAUAGUAAGAUGCAUGUAAGUCAUAAAGAUAUAAUGCUCCUGAACACUUUUGCUUCACACCAUAAUAGUGUAUAAACCUGUCAAACAUGGAAAAGCAUGAAGAAUACUUUAAUCACUGUCGACGCUGUAAAGCCUGGCAGUGGAGAAGUGAGUCUGGACCUUGAAACCCGCAGGCCUUUUACUGCAUGCAGUCAGUUUCAUAUAACAUUGUGCACACCGUCCUAAAAUCCUCACACAAGGAGAUAAAGAGUCUGAAAUGGCACCAAGAGCCUGAGAUCUGAGCUACAAUCACAUUGUAAAUGUAAUCAGUGCACAAAUGGAGUGAGCAGCACUCAUCCACACACACAGUCUCAGAUUCAGACAGAAAUGCAGGGAUGACACUGCUCAUAGCCAGCCUUGAGAUUUUGUCAAGGUUUCAGAAAAAAAAAAUAGUUGAGCAUCAGUGGGAGGUCAAAAAUUAAGUAGAAGACCCCAAAAUCUUACUAUGUUAGUAAAGCCAGAGUGCUUAGCAUUAAGAAUACUCCUGAUUUUUACAGAUGGAGAUUAACUCUGAUGAUCUGACAUGUAAAGAGUGGAGUGUCUCUCAGGCUUUCUCAGAUUUGAGAUUAGGUGGGGUACUGUCUUGAUUCCGCCCAUCGUAAGUCGCACAGUGACGUCUGGAGUGUGAUCUCUUUGAACAGUGACAUGCAAAUCUGAUUCAUGGACAGAAAAUAUUUUAUGUGACAGCACUUGACUCUACUGUUCGCCAGUACGAUUCUGAGUAACUUGGAGGUUAAAUGACUGAGAGGUUCAACUAAAAGGUCUUGUUCGUUUAGAAAUUACUUCACUGUCAAUUACCAGCUCUGCGUCCAAUAUGGAGGGUAAUGGAGACCAGAAUAUUCUAUUGAAGCUAGGAAUGAUGGGUGUAGGGUGGAAAAUCUGAAGUCCAGGCUAGUGCUUGAUCUCUAGAGACACAGCCAGACAUGCAGUUUGAUUUACACACCUGUUCUGUCUGUGUCGACGUGAUUCAUCCUCAAACGCAGGGACAAAUGAGGUAUUUUCCACAUGAAAACAUGACAAUUUGAAUGAUUUGCUCUUUGAUAUUUUGUGCUAUCGUGCUUCUGUUCUGCAUUCACAUAUGGGUGCAUGCACUAAUGUGUGGGUGUAAGCAUGUGUGAGGGUUCAAUAGUGUGGAAAACCCAUGUAGGGCAGCUGUCACUCCUGCCACUACUGAAUGUAGGAAUAUGCUCUCACUUAACCUGGCAUUAAAAUGUACAGUACGUCACUGUACAGCACCAACAAACUACCAAAUCAUACAACACUGCGCAGUAGUACACCUCGCUACACCAUGCCUACUUAACAUUACUCCAUAUUACUAUACUCUAAUUUAUUAGACACUAUGUUACUCAACUAUAGAACCUAUGAGUAUAUGAAUAGGGGUACCGUUUGUAUGAUAUGUGAUGCGUAUUCCACAUACCUGUUCUCAGGAAAAAAUGAGUUAAUCCUUCUAGAUACACUUUAGAUAAAUAUUACAGUCAGUACAUUUGUCUAUGCUACAUAUACGAUAUCUACAUAUUCAUCACCAUUGUUUAAAAAAAAUAAGAAUUAUUACAUUAUUGAGAUAUACGAAGCGGUCAUUACAGAUGACUCACUAUUCAGUGAAUAGCACUUAAGAAUACUUAUUCAAACCAUAAAUUGGAUUUUGAAAAAGUUCACUUGCACACACACACUGAUCAGAAAGCACAGAAAGCAUUUUUCUAAUCAUCAUUUCAUCUGGCUGUGGUCCCAUUUGCUCUCUGUGGCUCUGGGUGUGGUGCCGUAUGUAACCAAAUGCAGAGCGUUUAACCUCAUAUUCACCCUGAAGUGCAUCAGCCGUAAAGCUUUGCUUAACGUUUAUGCAAUGUGAAUUAUAUGAAAGCACAUUUAUUGAGAGCUGGAAGGUCAGAGAGUUUCUCAGGAACAAAAUGGUUUGUAUUUAUAUAAUAUUAAUUGAUAUAAAAUUACUUAAUAAAUCAAUAACAUGGCUGUAGAGGCUCUUUAUAUCCAUUAACACGCUGACAAGCAGAAAGCAGAGGCAAUACCUGUAAUACCUAAAUUAUUUUAUGCAUUGUACAUCUGAUAAAUUACAUUCAUUAAAUAAUUUGAUAUUAGUCUUUUUAAUAAUAUAGAAAAGUGGACAUAGGAUUCAAAAUGUUUUAACGGUAAUCAUAUGAUGCAUAUUGUAUAAACUAUAGUAUGUAAUGAGCAGCACAGUGCUUUCCUACUCUGCACGAUCACAAAAUGGCCGUGGUGGAGGUGCUGUCCACAGCCGUGUGAUUGACAGGGAGCUCCACGGUGUGGGUGGAUUUGCUCUGUACAUUGAGGUGCACAUGGAGUAUGCAUGCAGAUUCAUACCCGGUUCUCUCCCCCUUUGUUCUCCUGGGCACAUCCCAAAACAAAGGCAAUUAGGAGCAAAUUAAUUUGAUUUUUAUAAUCAGGAUAUUUGCUUUGUCUGUGCGCUGUGCAAACUGUUUUAAACCUGUGGGAAAAUGGUAUGGCGAACAUAUAAAAUGUACAUGCACUGUGUGUAGGGGUGUGUGUGGGUGUGUGCAUGGAUGCGUACAUGUGCGCAAGUGUGCAUCUGUGUCUUUCAUCACAUCUAUAUCGAGUUUUAUGUUCAAUUCAUUUCGAUGCAUUCUUGAUUUUUUUUUUUCUUUUUCAUUUGUAGUGUGGUAUACACAAAUACACUCUACUGACACUGACCUCAUGAUUAAGACUUAAUUUUUUUUUUUUUUAGUAGUUGCAUUAAUUGCAAUCAAAUGUAGGUGAAGGUUAAUCUAUAUGAAACAUAGCUGGACAAUAUGAAAAAUGUAUGUAAUAUUAUUAUGUAACAUAAAGAAUUGCAUUUCCAAUAUAGCAUGCUGGAGAUGAACCGUGAAUCAAACAAAUUAUAUCAGACAUCAGCUAAUAAACAAGUCUUUACUGAUCACUCACACUGAUUCUUCCCAAUUUUGUGAAUUUUUGUAUACAGCAUAUUUUGUCAGGUAAUAAUGCAGAUUAUCAAACAAAAGCCAUCAACAGAAAAUGCAAAAUCUCCCAUAGAAGGGACGAGAAUCCAUCUAACCUCUGUCUAUUUCUCCUUCACUAUCUCUUUCUUUCCAUCCAUCUUCUUGUUCCCCCUCUCAAAUUUUCCUCAUUGAUUGGGUUCAUAUGCUGGAAUUAGCCAUUCAUUUCCGUGUCUAAGCCCUGCCCCCUCUCUAUUUCUCCUGCUUUCUCUUUCUUCCCACCUCUCUGGUGUAGAACAGCUAGAUUACACACUUACACUGUGCCACAAAAUGUGCCACAAGGACAAGGACAAUAGUUUAUUGUUCAAACUCACUUUCCAUCAAACCCAUCUCUCAGCAUCUCUCACAUCCAUCCUCUUAUCUGAAGCCUUGAUUAUUGUUUGGCAAAAAGUCAAACUUCAGGUAGAGUAAAAAAAAGCCUGUUAUAUAAUUUUCUUUCCUGAAACGGUUUGGGUAUAAUGUGUAUAGUAAAUAAAUAAGAAAGAAAUAAAAGGAACACGAAAAACAAGAAAAUCCUUUCAGCAUUUUUUUCUUUUCAUCUGUCUGUCUCAUGAAUUGUGACUUUAAUCCGUGUUAAAAUAGCAAAACCCUUAUUCCAUAUAAUGGCACCAUUAAGAGUUAUUAAUAAUGCAAAGAGUGUGUAUGUGAUGUGGAAAUGUGUGCGUUUGGACCCUCGUUACCUUUCAACGGUUUCAUAAAACACACAUGUUCUAUAUCUGUUACUGCUUCAUGACUGUCAGGGUGGUGGCUUGUAGGGUUUCCCUGUACUUGUUUCCUGUUUGUAGCAGCCCUCUGGCCAUUUACACAUUCACACACACACGCAUACGCACACAUACAUGCACACAAAUAGAUACACACACUUAGGCACGCACAUGCAUCAUGUGAUUGCACUGGAUUCUCAUCGGGAUUCUUUGUGUGAACACUUGCAUGCUGUCAUGUGCACAUUUUGUGUGUGUGUGUGUGUGUGUGUGCACUCUGUUGCUCCUGCAUAUCUCCACACGUACUGGGUGAGAGCUUUGUGUGGGAGGAGUUAGUGGAGAACAAUGAUGGGCUCUCUUGUCUGCCUGCCCAUGCGUGUGUGAGAAUGUUUGUGGGAGCGUGAGUGUGUGUGCAGGCUCCUCUAUGCUAAUGCUAAAGAAAGUGCCACAGGAAGAUGGUGGUCCUUUACUGUGGUUGUAAGCUACCAACAGCCCAUUGUAUGUUAUCUACUACACCAGAGCUCAGAAGAUCAUAAAGGUGAGUGGAUGCUGUUAUCUGGUGACACAGGCAGGAUAAGCGCAGUGGACAGAGCUGUAUGGUGGGGCGGGUCAGCUGGUGUUGUGAAUCAGGCCGCCGUAAUGAGUGGGCACGGCUUCUUCAUAACACCAGGGUCACACCCUACCACACUCAGCACCUGCCAGCGCGCACACACAUAUCCACACAUAUACACUCAUAUCCACAUAUGCACACAAACACACUGACCCAAGCAGUACCAACUGACAUCACGGGAAAAAUGGAAGUGUUUAAGUAUUUUUGGUAUUUAAAUGCUUAUUCAAAACUAAAAAAAUUAAACUCAUGCAUUGUUAAUACAUAAAUUUUUAUAUGUUUGAUGUAUAGAUGUGUUGCUAUUUUGAAAUAAAAAAAUUAACAUUACAUUCAAUUAAAUACAUAUAAUUACAUUGCUUUUUUUUUUUUUUUUUUUUUUUUACUAGGCCUGAAAUUAUUUUCAUUAAAACAGCAUACCAUGUUUAAUGAAUCUUGUUACCCAUCUGUUGUUCUUAGACAUAUUUGCUUCUAGUGAGGUCUCAGUAUGCUGGGUUUAUUCAUUCUCUUACUUAUAGGACAGCCAAUGUUCUACUGUAAAUAUGUGUAUAACUGAGUGAAGGUUUUCACUGUUGGGUUUAUGGACACAUUGCUAUAAUUCCACUAACAGUACAGUGCUACUAUUAAGUGGUUAUCGUUAUACAGGUUGUAAAAUUAAUAAUAAACAUUAGUCAUUGCCAAAUUAACGUUUUUUCAAAACAUUUCAAACAUUCCCGGCGUUCAGUUUAAUUAAUGACCAAAAUGCACUACAACUAUUAAACCACCACAAACCCAUCUCAUAAUAAAUUCUUUCAUCAAAACACAACAUUAUAUUUCUUCUAACAAGAGCACGCUGUCCAUCAGAGCACAAUGUUUAAAAACCACUAACAAGCGUCAUUACAGUAGGUGUACUAAAUGAUAUAUAUUGAUGACAAAAUAAAAGAAAUAAUAGUUUAUUUUCAAUUACAAACAGAAUGAUACAUCUUGAAGGCUCCAGGCUCCCUGCGACCCUGUGUAGGAUGAGCGGUAUAGAAAAUGGAUGUAUGGAUGAUACAUCUUGAUUGUAUAUGCCAUAUAAACCAGAAAAAAUAAUUACAAUUGAAGUGCAAGAGACAAGCAAAAAUGAUUAUAAUCUUUCUGUCUCUUCUGCGUGG